AUGUUCAUAAGCAGGUUAAAGGUGUGGCUGCCCGUGACAUUGCUGUCUGUCUGCUUUCAAGCCCAGACCACCUACUGGAAUGUAGAUGGGCUGGGCCAUCAGGAACUUGCGCGUCCAUCUCAGGGAGACCUGGCCUUCAGAGAUGACAGCAUUCGGCCUCAGGAGGAUCCUGUGAUUUGCCCUUGGUCUUCCAAGCUUAUGCCGCCUGUGGGGAUACAGCACAGUUAGGAGCUAAACAGAACCUGCUGCCUGAAUGGGAGAACCUGCAUGCUGGGGUCCUUUUGUGCCUGUCUGCCUUCCUUCUCUGGAUGGAACUGUGAGCACGAUGUGCGCAAAAAGAAAUAUGGGUCUGUGCCCCAUGACACCUGGCUUCCCAAGAAGUCUUCCCUGUGUAAAUGCUGGCACGGCCAGCUCCGCUGCUUUCCUCAGACUUUCCUACCUGGCUGUGAUGGCCUUGUGAUGGAUGAGCACCUCAUGGCUUCCAGGACUCCAGAACUACCACCGUCUGCACCUACCCCUUUGAUGCUAACUGGCAUCUGCCUUUCUAUAGAAAGUUACUAUUCAUUGACAUUGACCUAUUUCCAGAAAUACGAUUUUAGAUAUCAGGCAAAUUUCAUGACCAGUAAAGGUUGUUGCUACAAUGUCCUGUCUGAAAUUCAGAUGAUCAUUUGUUAGUUGCUUUAAAAUAAUGAAUACAUUUCCAAAAUGGUCUCUAGCAUUUCCUUACAAAAUCCAACUACUUCUUACCUCUUUGCCCCACCCUCCGCCAAAAAACUACUUCUUUUUGCAAAAGAAAGUCAGCCAUAUCUCCGUUGUGCCUAAGUCCAGUGUUUCUUGAUACAUGUAAUUCUACCAAGGUCUUCUUAAUAUGUUCUUUUAAACAAUUGAGUUAUCUCUUCAGAUUGUUAAAGACUAAUCCUAAUGUGGACCUUAGGAUACAGUUUUGAGUAGAGUUGAUCAAAAUCAAUUAAAAUAGUCUUUUUAAACGGAAAUAAAGCCUCUUUAAGGGGAGGAACCAGAGUGCUGAAGGAAGGGAAGUACGUCUGCAUGUGUGCAGGGAGACUGGGUAGGAAAGAGGAAGCCAGUGGGGGAGAGCGGUUGGAAAACAUAAAAUGAGUUACUUGAUUGGUAAUUAGAUGGCUGUAGAGAAGCAAGUUAAAAGGCUAAAUGGAAGGGCAAGUUUCCAUCAUCUAUAGAAAGCUAUAUAAGGCAAGGACUCCCCUUUUGUUUCCAAAGGCAUUGUAAGAAGAAUGAAGUCUACUUAGAAAAAAAAUUAUACCUCAACGUCCGCAACAGGAUUGCAUAAUAAAUUUUUUCCUCCAAGCUAUGCAAUUCUUUUAACUGUUGUAUAAGAGAAAAUGUUCACAAUAUAUUUAGUUGUAAACCAAGUGAUAAAACUACAUAUUGUAAAGCUCAUUUUUAUAAUACAUUGCAUAUAUGUGUAUGCACAGUAAAAGUAGAA